CGGCGGGGCGCUGGGGCGGUGGCACGGGGCGGGCUGGGACCCCGCACUCUCGCACGGACUUGGAGGGCAGCUGGCGUGGGUCCCUCGCCGUCCGGCGGCGACUGUAAAUAGAGCCUGGAUGUUGUUUACAUGAAGGAUCCGGCGGGAGGAGUCUGCGAGGAGGAGGCGGAGGAGGAGGAGGAGGGAGGGAGGAGAGAGGAAGAUCGGAGUCCCCGCGUCGGCGACGGCGGCGGCGGUGGUGGUCCGGCGUGAGGCUACCCGCAGGCCAGCUGCCACCUUCUUGGAGAAGGACCACACCUGUGUUUAUUCCUCGCUUUGGAAGAGAGAUGUAGGAAUAGAAGCUCUGAGAAUGGUGGACUCUGCAGAAAAGAGGAGUGUGAUUGUGUUUCUGGAACAGCCCAAGGCUCUAGAAGUAGAGUACAUCAUCCCUGGGACUUCCCUGGUGGUCCAGUGGUAAAGAAUCCUCCUUACAAUGCAGGGGACAAGGGUUUGAUCCCUGGUUGGGGAACUAAGAUCCCACAUGCUGCAGGGCAACUAAGCCCACGUGCACAACUAUGGAGCUUGUACGCCUCAACUAGAGCCUGCGUGCCGCAAACUACAGAGCUCACGCACUCUGGAACCCACGCACCACAACCUGAGAAGAAAAAAUCCACAUGCCACAACUAGAGAGAAGCCUGCGCACCACAAGGAAGAGCCUGUGCGCCGCAAUGAAAGAUCCUGCGUGCCUCAGCGAAGAUCCACAUGCCAACUAAGACCCAACGCAGUGAGAGAGAAAAAUAAAUAAUAGGGCUUUCCAGGUGGCGCAGUGGUUGAGAGUCCGCCUGCCGAUGCAGGGGACGUGGGUUCGUGCCCCGGUCUGGGAAGAUCCCACAUGCUGUGGAGCGGCUGGGCCCGUGAGCCAUGGCCGCUGAGCCUGCACGUUCGGAGCCUGUGCUCUGCAACGGGAGAGGCCACAACAGUAAGAGGCCCGCGUACCACAA